rnacentral:lncRNA from 1 species
CCUAUUUACACAUAUUGCACACCGUCCUCUGGCCUCCUGCAUUCCUGCCUGUUAGUGGAAACGUUUCCGUUUCUCCUCUGGAUCUGACCCGAAGUCCCGGGACCCGAUGCCAUUCUGGAGAUUUAUUAGUGAAUCCUUCAUCUGCAAGACAAGAAACGUCUCCAAUGUGCUGCUACCCUGGAGGUGGCAGCACUUUGGGAUUUCCUUUCUCAUCGGUGCCUCCUCCAUCCAUCUAAGUGUUAAUACCAUUAACAUCCACUUUUUGGGACUGGUGCAGCAGGGCUGGGUGGCAAAUGGAGGACUGGGAAGAUAGGAGCCAGUGAGUUAACAAGGGUCAAGCAGAAUGAUGCACAGGGUAACGUAACAGGCACUCACCUUAGGGAACAGCAGCUUCUUUCAUUUAUGAACACCAUUCCAAGCUGCCCGGUGUCUUAGGAGCUUUUGAGGGAAUGGGUUCUAAAACUGCUGCUUCUGUGCUGUGAAUGGCCUAUGCCUUUGUCCCUGUAAGCUACAGACAACCCCAGACUCAAGGAGAAAAAUUCUGCAUUGCAAACAGAGUGCCAAGGCCUUUACAGCACCCUCAAAUGCCAAAGACUAGAUACAAGCUUUGUUGUCUAAUAUAAGGCUUUGGCCCUGCAGGAUUCUCUCCUUUACUUGUCUGGACUCCUGUGAGAUGAUAGAGAACCCACGUGAAUAGCCCUUGGGACCUUCUGCCCAGCCCAGCAUCAGAAGACAGACUUAAAGAGAGAUGGGAACGGAGGUGAUGCACCUGGUGGGCUGCAGUGGUCCAGGUAAGGCUGAGGGAUUGCAGGUGAUGGGCUGGGAGGACACAGUGACUGUCUACUCACAGUGGUACUGGGAUGUGUGGUCUCACCUGGUCUAGAAGCAUCACGGAGGAUUUGAUGAUCUCACGCCAUUUUUGUAACUCUGAGUCAUGAUACUUCUGCUGAGAUUCUAGUAACUGGGCCCAUUCUGUCUGCGACUGGGGUAACCUGCCAAGCAGAGUAGGAGCAGGAGUGAAUGUGGGGAAAGCUUAGUCAAGGAUGAGCAAAGUGGACCAGCAGGUGAGGGGGUGGUAGAUAGCAUCAGUCUCUGUUUG